rnacentral:rRNA from 1 species
CUUUACUGUAGCCUGGUAUUGGGUUCGGGCUUUGCUUGCGCAGGAUAGGUGGGAGACGUUGAAGCAUCUCUUGUGGGAGGUGUGGAGUCAACGGUGAGAUACCACUCUGGCGGAGCUAGAAUUCUAACCCUUACCCAUUAUCUGGGAAGGGAACCGUAUCAGGUGGGCAGUUUGACUGGGGCGGUCGCCUCCUAAAAGGUAACGGAGGCGCGCAAAGGUUCCCUCCGGCUGGUUGGAAAUCAGCCUGAGAGUGCAAAGGCAUAAGGGAGCUUGACUGUGAGACUGACAGGUCAAACAGGGACGAAAGUCGGCCUUAGUGAUCCGACGGCACUGAGUGGAAGGGCCGUCGCUCAACGGAUAAAAGUUA